rnacentral:rRNA from 1 species
GACAGAGGGUGCAAACGUUGUUCGGAAUUACUGGGCGUAAAGCGCGUGUAGGCUGCUCGGGAAGUCGGGUGUGAAAGCCCUGGGCUCAACCUAGGAAGUGCACUCGAAACUUCCGAGCUGGAGUGCUGGAGAGGAAGGCGGAAUUCUCGGUGUAGAGGUGAAAUUCGUAGAUAUCGAGAGGAAAAUCGGUGGCGAAGGCGGCCUUCUGGACAGCGACUGACGCUGAGACGCGAAAGCGUUGGGAGCAAACAGG